rnacentral:rRNA from 1 species
AUUGAACGCUGGCGGCAUGCUUUACACAUGCAAGUCGAACGGUAACAGGCCGCAAGGUGCUGACGAGUGGCGAACGGGUGAGUAAUGCAUCGGAACGUGCCCAGUCGUGGGGGAUAACUACUCGAAAGAGUAGCUAAUACCGCAUACGAUCUAUGGAUGAAAGCGGGGGACCGUAAGGCCUCGCGCGAUUGGAGCGGCCGAUGUCAGAUUAGGUAGUUGGUGGGGUAAAGGCUCACCAAGCCAACGAUCUGUAGCUGGUCUGAGAGGACGACCAGCCACACUGGGACUGAGACACGGCCCAGACUCCUACGGGAGGCAGCAGUGGGGAAUUUUGGACAAUGGGCGCAAGCCUGAUCCAGCAAUGCCGCGUGCAGGAAGAAGGCCUUCGGGUUGUAAACUGCUUUUGUACGGAACGAAACGGCUCUGGUUAAUACCCGGGGCUAAUGACGGUACCGUAAGAAUAAGCACCGGCUAACUAC